GUAGUCCUUUUCUUUAUAUUCUGCUGAAGGAGGUUGGGGAAAGCACUUCCUUUGUUCAUUUCCUUAUUCAGCAUUUUUCAGCAGUGACUUUGCAUCAGGGCCUUGGUAGGUGCUUGGAAACAGAAAACAAGUAAUGACCCUUCUCUGCAGGGCAGGAAGCCUAGACCAAAAGCUGGGUAAUGUGAUCCGAGCUACGGUAGCCAUUUGAAGACUCUGAGGACAAACUGUACCCCCGGAUUUGCUUGAGCUUCCCUUGCCUUCUGGUUGGUACACACCAGGUCACCACAACCCAGAUGGGCCUGCAGCCCACAGUACAGUAUGUACCUCGAUCUCCUCUCCCCUCUCGUCGGGGCCUGCAACAUGAGCAUCCCUGACUACGUGCAGUGUGCUGAGGACCACCAGACUUUCCCCAUGGUGGUCGAACACGUGGGGAUCAUUUCAGAGGAGAAUUUCUUUUGCAUCUAUAAGUGAAUCACCUUGGUGAGUCAGAUCAGUCCGUGCGGCUCCCAGUGGGCAAUCUGUAUCCACUACAGGCACCACUAUGCGCCCAAGAAUGGGUGGAGCGUCUUCCAGACCCACCGCAAGGUCUUGGGCCUUGUCAUCAUUACUGACUGCCUCUCGGCCAAGGUUUCGAGAAGCUCCACGUGCAGAGGAGCUGUAUGGCACCACGCUCUAUGACUCUCAGCUCUUUGACUUUCUGCUGCAUGGGGAGGUGGCCGAGCAGCCGCGCACCGAAGUGGCCUUCAAUUUACGAGGACUGCAGGGUGGUGGAGAAGAGGAUCGAGGACUUCACUGAGUCACUCUUCAUCUUGCCUAAGUCCAAGUGGCUGGACGGUGCAUCCGACAAUUUUGGGGACAAGAUCCUCCUUCUCUGCAUCCCAUUUGAGAAGGAGGACAUCAUGGGACUGGACACAGAAAGCAGUACGUUUUGGUUACUGAGUCCCUCGAAUUCCCAUAUGAAUAGUAGCAGCAGCUAGUCAGUUACUGCAGAGGAGCCCGCUGGGAUUGUGAUCGAGACCACGUUGAGUAUACAGAUCGCUCUGGGGAGCACUGCCAUCCCAAGAGCGCUGUCAUCUGAUCCAGGAAUGUGCGUGGUGUGUCUGUCCAGGGGAAAAGAGUACAAUUCAAAAAUAUAAAGAUUGUGAGCUAAUGAGAUAGACAAGACAACCGAACAUUUGUUAAAUAUCCUUUCAUGCCGGAAACAAAUGUAUUAUACACACAAAAAGCACACAAAUCACGGUAGUACUGCGGUUACAAACGUGGGUCCGAGUUCGAGUCCUGCU